rnacentral:tRNA from 1 species
GGGCCCGUAGCUUAGUCUGGCGGAGCGUCAGGCUCAUAACCUGAUGGUCACCGGUUCAAAUCCGGUCGGGCCCACCA